CUUGGUGCGGAGCUUCAUGCAGCGUGGGCUAGUAUCAUCUAUGCAAUUCGAAAGCUGCGAGUGCGGAGGAUUAUUAUUGGGGGAGAUUUUCUAACGAUUAUCAACUGGAUGCAGGAGGGACCUAUGCACCGUGAGGCCCACCGUCUCCUCAACGACAUCUAGAGGGCCACCCACAGGUGCACUGCAGUAUCCUGUCAGCAUGUGUAUCGAAAGG
rnacentral:lncRNA from 1 species